GGAAGUUCUGAGACAUACUACGACAUGGAUGAAUCCUGAGGACAUUAUGCUAAGUGAAAUAAACCAGUCACA